rnacentral:rRNA from 1 species
UACGAAGGGGGCUAGCGUUGUUCGGAAUUACUGGGCGUAAAGCGCGCGCAGGCGGCCAUUCAAGUCAGGGGUGAAAGCCCAGAGCUCAACUCUGGAACUGCCUUUGAAACUGUAUGGCUUGAGUAUGAGAGAGGUGAGUGGAAUUCCCAGUGUAGAGGUGAAAUUCGUAGAUAUUGGGAAGAACACCGGUGGCGAAGGCAGCCAUCUGGACCGACACUGACGCUGAGGCGCGAAAGCGUGGGGAGCAAACAGG